UAGGGAAUCUUCCGCAAUGGACGCAAGUCUGACGGAGCAACGCCGCGUGAGUGAAGAAGGAUUUCGGUUCGUAAAACUCUGUUGUUAGAGAAGAACAGCGCAUAGAGUAACUGUUAUGCGUGUGACGGUAUCUAACCAGAAAGCCACGGCUAACUACGUGCCAGCAGCCGCGGUAAUACGUAGGUGGCAAGCGUUGUCCGGAUUAGUGGGCGUAAAGCGAGCGCAGGCGGUCAAUUAAGUCUGAUGUGAAAGCCCCCGGCUCAACCGGGGAGGGUCAUUGGAAACUGGUUGACUUGAGUGCAGAAGAGGAGAGUGGAAUUCCAUGUGUAGCGGUGAAAUGCGUAGAUAUAUGGAGGAACACCAGUGGCGAAGGCGACUCUCUGGUCUGUAACUGACGCUGAGGCUCGAAAGCGUGGGUAGCAAACAGG
rnacentral:rRNA from 1 species